rfam:Ovis aries breed Texel chromosome 16, whole genome shotgun sequence.
UCCCUGAUAGCCUAGUUGGUAAAGAAUCUGCCUGCAAUGCAGGAAACCCCAGUUCAAUUCCUGGGUUGGGAA